UACGGAGGUCCAAGCGUUGUUCGGAUUCACUGGGCGUAAAGGGUGCGUAGGCGGUCGGGUAAGUCUGAUGUGAAAUCUCACAGCUUGACUGUGAAACUGCAUUGGAUACUAUCCGGCUUGAGGAAUGGAGGGGAGACUGGAAUACUUGGUGUAGCAGUGAAAUGCGUAGAUAUCAAGUGGAACACCAGUGGCGAAGGCGAGUCUCUGGACAUUUCCUGACGCUGAGGCACGAAAGCCAGGGGAGCAAACGGG
rnacentral:rRNA from 1 species